rnacentral:rRNA from 1 species
AUGAAAUGGCCUGUCAAAACGGCUGAUCUGAGCUACAACGUGGCUGAGAUCAGUGGCGUGCUGUCGACGGAACAUUUUGCAAACCUAGUGAGCUUAGAAUAUCUUGACCUUUCACACAACUCUCUGACAUUGGAUCUAAACGGCAACUGGGUUCCACCGUUUAGACUGGAUACAGGAUACUUCAGAUCAUGUAACUUGGGCCCUCGAUUCCCGACGUGGCUGAGAUGGCAAGCUGGCAUAACUCAGCUUGAUAUUUCCAACGCAAGCAUAAGUGAUGUCUUGCCUGAAUGGUUCUGGACUGUUUCUUCUCAUGCUUCAGUGUUGUACUUGUCAAGGAAUGAACUGAGUGGGGCCUUUCCAGCACAGUUGGAUCUACCAUCGAUUCAAUUAAUGGAUCUCUCAAAAAAUUCCCUGUCAGGGAAGCUCCCAGCAAAUCUCACAGCUCCGGUACUCGUUCAGUUGCAUCUUUCGAGCAAUCAUAUCGAAGGUACCAUCCCACCAUAUGUGUGUCAAUUGAAUCAUUUGUUGGAACUGGAUCUGUCGAGCAAUCAACUGACAGGGGAUUUUCCAAGAUGCCCAGAAAAUAUUACAUGGAGUCCCGAUUUCACAUAUUGUGUUCAAUUCGGUUGUUCCUUGUCGAUUCUAGACUUGAAGAAUAACAAGUUGUCAGGCAAAUUCCCAGACUUCCUCCAAAAUGCCUCAUGGUUAAGUUUUCUUGACCUUUCGCGCAAUGUAUUCGCUGGUAGUUUGCCAACAUGGAUAGAUGAGAAAAUGCCAAGCCUAGAAGUGUUGGUUCUACGAUCAAACAUGUUCUCUGGACACCUUCCUAGGCAGUUUGCAAAUCUGCCCAGUCUUCAUUACUUGGAUGUGGCACAUAACAACAUAUCAGGAAGGAUACCUUCUUCUCUUGGGAGACUGAAAGCUAUGACAGGUGAAUCCGAAGGAAGCAAAAAUAAUUACAGCCACGACAGCAUAAUGACUGUCACGAAAGACCAGGAGCGUCAAUACACCCUUGAUUUCGCAAACCCCAUUGUGCUGAUUGACCUGUCAUGUAACAGUCUAACUGGACAUAUUCCGGAGGAACUAUCUUUUCUCAAGGGACUUCAGACGCUGAAUCUCUCCGGCAACCAACUAGAUGGAAGAAUCGUGGAUGGUAUCGGCGCCUUAAGGAAAUUGGAAUCUCUGGACCUAUCCUACAACAGUUUGGCCGGCGAAAUCCCGUCAGGUUUAUCUGACCUCACAUUUCUGAGCUGGCUAAACUUGUCCUACAAUGAUCUAUCAGGAAGAAUCCCCUCGGGGAGGCAGCUACAGACACUCAAUGAUCCAUGUAUAUACGUCGGCAACCAUGGGCUCUGUGGGCCUCCUCUCGCCAACAAUUGUUCAAAUGGAGCAAACCCAAGUGCCCAUGAAGAACAUGAAGGUGCACCUAAUGAUACAACAUAUUUGUUCCUUGGCAUAAGCACCUAA